CAGCCGCCGCGGUAAUACGUAGGGUGCAAGCGUUAAUCGGAAUUACUGGGCGUAAAGCGUGCGCAGGCGGUUAUAUAAGACAGAUGUGAAAUCCCCGGGCUCAACCUGGGAACUGCAUUUGUGACUGUAUAGCUAGAGUACGGCAGAGGGGGAUGGAAUUCCGCGUGUAGCAGUGAAAUGCGUAGAUAUGCGGAGGAACACCGAUGGCGAAGGCAAUCCCCUGGGCCUGUACUGACGCUCAUGCACGAAAGCGUGAGGAGCAAACAGGAUUAGAUACCCCCGUAGUCCCUGUCUCUUAUAC
rnacentral:rRNA from 1 species